rnacentral:lncRNA from 1 species
GCUGUGGAGAGAAUAGAGGAAGACUUGACGUGGGGUCCACUCUGCUUCCUCUCGGCUGAGUGACCUUAAGAGAAGGUGCUCACCUUCGCUGAGCUUCAAUUUCCUGCUCUGUGAAUGCAGAGAUGAAGGCACAUGAUGUGUCACAAACCCAGCCCUCCAGGACUUGGUGGUAACUCUGGGGAACAUUGACUUCAUGCUGGAGUGGCCCCGUGCUGGGCUGAGUCAAGUUUGGGAUCUCCCAGGCAGUCCGGGCAGCUCCCCCAGCAAUGAGCAGCCUGGCCUCUCAGACUCUGCGGAAGUAAGAAUGAAAUGUGAAAACCAGCUGGGACCCACCCUCAUCCCAUGGCACACCUGGGGUUAGGGCCCUGCCGCAGUCCCCAGCUGCUCUUCUGAUUAGGCAAGGGUCAGGCUCCCGUCUCCUGCACACGGCAGCCCGGACCUUUGGGCGUCCAGCAUCUUGGGGAAGCACAGGCUUUCGCUGGAAAGUUCAGCCCCGCAUCUUGGCAUUAUUCGCUGUACCAGUACCGGCUCGGGAGGACCGGAGACUAACAGAACCACUCCUGGCAUGACGCAGUUCCCUUCACCCCGGGUUACUCUGUAUUCACAGGUCCAGAGGGGAGAGGGUGGGGUGUAGAUGAGUGGUUUCCUCCCCCUCUUCUCCAUUGUUUCCUCUGAGCAAAGUGACCCAGCGGUCCGGUCCGUUCCCCACCAGCCUCGAGCAUCGGAGAGGAUGCUGCCUGCUGCCCCGGGGGAGGGGCAGGGGGCUUGUUCUCA